ACAGCCUUGCUGGGUUGUGAACUCCUUCACUCACCUUCCUCGCUCUCUCUCUCUCUCUCUCUCUCUCUCUUUAUGUCUCUGAUUAUUUCCCAUUGUAGUAGAUGAACACUCAUAUCAUAGACUAAGCUUAGCUGUUUGAGUAAUGAUGUAGUGAGAGAGAGAGAAGAGAGAAAGAGAGUGAGAGUGUGUCUUGGUUGGUUGAUUUACUUGUCCAUUGGGGUAAAAUUUUGGGUUUGCUUGUUGGGUUUUAAUUUUUGGGUUGAGAUUUUUGGUUUUGUUUAAUUUUGAUGGGUACUGAGGGAGGAGGAGAAGAAGUAGGAUUGAAAGAGAAGAAAGAUCAUGAGGCGGCAGCAGCAGCAGCAGAGGGAGGAAGUAGGUUGCUGUACACCUGUUGUAUACACCAAUGAACAGAGUCCAAGAAGCAACCAUGUUUACAGCAGGGAAUUCCAGUCCAUGUUGGAAGGGUUAGAUGAGGACGGUUGUGUGGAAGAGGCCGGCCGUGUUUCCGAGAAGAAGAGAAGAUUGAACGUUGAACAAGUGAAGGCCCUGGAGAAAAACUUCGAGGUGGAGAACAAGCUUGAACCUGAAAGAAAGGUGAAGCUUGCCCAAGAACUUGGCCUCCAACCAAGACAAGUUUCCGUGUGGUUCCAGAACCGCCGUGCUCGUUGGAAAACCAAGCAAUUGGAGCGCGAUUACGGCGUUCUCAAAGCCGAUUACGACUCUCUCAAGUGCAGCUACGAUAUCCUUCAACAUGACAACGAAGCCCUUCUCAAAGAGAUAAAGCAAUUGAAAGCAAAAUUCCAAGAGAACACAGAGAGCACCAAUCCCUCAGUAAAACAAGAGAAACUCCUGGGGAAAGAUCAAUCCAGUUACCGGGCGGUUCACGAGGGGAGCCAGUCACCGCCACCCCCUCCGGAAUCCUCCGUUCCAGAAACUGAAUGCAAAGAGUUUAACUUUGAGAGCUUCAACAACACAAGUGGAGUACUAGAAGCCGUUUCAUUGUUCCCAGAUUCAAAGAUGGCUCUUCUGACAGUGACUCAAGCGCGAUCUUGAACGAAGAUAACAGUCCAAACUUGACUAUGUCUUCAUCUGGGAUUCUCCAAAACCACCAGCUCAUCAAGUCUCCGGCUUCCACUUCACUCAAAUUCAACUGUUGUUCAUCGUCCUCGCCGUCGCCAUCGUCGAUGAACUGCUUUCCGUUCCAAAAGAGCUAUCAGCCUUCCGUGAAGGUCGAGGAGCACAACUUAUUUAGCAGUGAGGAGGCUUGUAGCUUCUUCUCCGAUGAGCAAGCACCUUCACUUCAGUGGUACUGUCCUGAUCAAUGGAACUAAACCAUCAACAAUCCAAUCAAUCCACUCCAUCAGUCCCAUCCAAAAAAGAAGAAUUGGAAUCCAAGAAAUAGACCUUCCAUGAUUUUUGUUAAAUGGGAAAGUGGGGUUGUGUAUAAAUUAAUGUACUUUGAUCUCCACUGUGCAAAAGUGAAGUUUGAGAGCAACUGUAGAAUGGAGGUGGGAGAGAGAGAGAGAGAGAGAGAGAGAAGAGAGGUUCACGUGGGUAGAAGGUGAGGACGAGCAAGGUAUUUUCCUUGCCAAACCGUGCGGGAUGAUUGGGUCGUAAUUAAAAUUUCAGCUGUAAAAAUGAGAUGUCGGGAAAAAAAAAACUUUGGGAGGUAGAAUUUCGUGUAAUGGAGAAAAUAAUCAUUGUGCUUCACUUUUUCCCUUCCA